UACAGAGGUCUCAAGCGUUGUUCGGAUUCAUUGGGCGUAAAGGGCGCGUAGGCGGCCUGGCAAGUGGAAGGUGAAAUCCCUCGGCUUAACCGAGGAACUGCCUCCCAAACUGCUUGGCUUGAGACCGGGAGAGGGAAGUGGAAUUCCGGGUGUAGUGGUGAAAUGCGUAGAUAUCCGGAGGAACACCAGUGGCGAAGGCGACUUUCUGGCCUGUUCUUGACGCUGAGGCGCGAAAGCUAGGGGAGCAAACGGG
rnacentral:rRNA from 1 species